UACGUAGGGUGCAAGCGUUAAUCGGAAUUACUGGGCGUAAAGCGUGCGCAGGCGGCUUUGCAAGACAGAUGUGAAAUCCCCGGGCUUAACCUGGGAACUGCAUUUGUGACUGCAUGACUGGAGUCCGGUAGAGGAGUGUGGAAUUCCCGGUGUAGCGGUGAAAUGCGCAGAUAUCGGGAGGAACACCCGUAGCGAAGGCGGCACUCUGGGCCGGUACUGACGCUGAGGAGCGAAAGCGUGGGGAGCGAACAGG
rnacentral:rRNA from 1 species